rnacentral:RNase_P_RNA from 14 species
AAAGAUGGGCAGGUGGCCGCCCGGUCUAUCCGGGAGGAAAGUCCGAGCACCAUAGGGCAAGGCGCUGGGUAACUCCCAGUCCCGGUGACGGGAAGGAAAGUGCCACAGAAAAAAAACCGCCCGAGAAAUCGGGUAAGGGUGAAAAGGCGAGGUAAGAGCUCACCGCGUUUCUGGUGACAGAAACGGCAUGGUAAACCCCGCCCGGUGCAAGACCAAAUAGGGGGGCUUUUCCGUUGUUCGGAAAGGAAUCGGCCCGGUUCGUGCCCCCGGGUAAGGUCGCUUGAGGCCUCGGGUAACCGUGGUCCCAGAGUAAUGGUCGCCACUGCCGGAAGAUGGCAGGACAGAACUCGGCUUAUGUCCUGUCUUUCGCA